AUUGAACGCUGGCGGCAGGCCUAACACAUACAAGUCGAACGGCAGCACAGAAGAGCUUGCUCUUUGGGUGGCGAGUGGCGGACGGGUGAGUAAUGUCUGGGAAACUGCCCGAUGGAGGGGGAUAACUACUGGAAACGGUAGCUAAUACCGCAUAACGUCGCAAGACCAAAGUGGGGGACCUUCGGGCCUCACACCAUCGGAUGUGCCCAGAUGGGAUUAGCUAGUAGGUGGGGUAAUGGCUCACCUAGGCGACGAUCCCUAGCUGGUCUGAGAGGAUGACCAGCCACACUGGAACUGAGACACGGUCCAGACUCCUACGGGAGGCAGCAGUGGGGAAUAUUGCACAAUGGGCGCAAGCCUGAUGCAGCCAUGCCGCGUGUAUGAAGAAGGCCUUCGGGUUGUAAAGUACUUUCAGCGGGGAGGAAGGCGGUGAGGUUAAUAACCUCGCCGAUUGACGUUACCCGCAGAAGAAGCACCGGCUAACUCCGUGCCAGCCGCCGCAGUAA
rnacentral:rRNA from 1 species